GAAGGUAGCGUAAUCAUUUGUCUUUUAAAUAGAGACCUGUAUGAAUGGCAUAACGAGGGUUUAACUGUCUCCCUCCCCCAGUCAAUGAAAUUGAUCUGCCCGUGCAGAAGCGGACAUAAACACAUAAGACGAGAAGACCCUAUGGAGCUUUAGACAAAAGAUCAAACAUGUAAAGAAACCAAACCAACCAAAAGGAACACAAAGGCCACAAAACCCAACGUAAAAUGAUCAAAAUGUCUUCGGUUGGGGCGACCAUGGGGGAAAGAAAAGCCCCCACGAGGAACUAAGGGCAAUCCAUUAAGCCAAGAGAUACACCUCUAAGCAACAGAAAAUCUGACCAAAAAUGACCCAGGACACUAAUCCUGAUCAACGAACCAAGUUACCCUAGGGAUAACAGCGCAAUCCUUUCCCAGAGUCCAUAUCGACGAAAGGGUUUACGACCUCGAUGUUGGAUCAGGACAUCCUAAUGGUGCAGCCGCUAUUAAGGGUUCGUUUGUUCAACGAUUAA
rnacentral:rRNA from 1 species